GCCAGCGUGGCAUAGUGGUUUGAGUGUUGGACUAGGAUACUGGGAGACCAGGGUUCGAAUCCCAGCUUGGGCA